GACGAACGCUGGCGGCGUGCUUAACACAUGCAAGUCGAACGGUAAGGCCCUUCGGGGUACACGAGUGGCGAACGGGUGAGUAACACGUGGGUGAUCUGCCCUGCACUUCGGGAUAAGCCUGGGAAACUGGGUCUAAUACCGGAUAGGACUCCGGACUGCAUGGUCUGGGGUGGAAAGCUUUUGCGGUGUGGGAUGGGCCCGCGGCCUAUCAGCUUGUUGGUGGGGUGAUGGCCUACCAAGGCGACGACGGGUAGCCGGCCUGAGAGGGUGACCGGGCACACUGGGACUGAGGUACGGCCCGGACUCCUACGGGAGGCAGCAGUGGGGAAUAUUGCACAAUGGGCGCAAGCCUGAUGCAGCGACGCCGCGUGAGGGAUGACGGCCUUCGGGUUGUAAACCUCUUUCAGCACCGACGAAGCGCAAGUGACGGUAGGUGCAGAAGAAGGACCGGCCAACUACGUGCCAGCAGCCGCAGUAA
rnacentral:rRNA from 1 species